AUUGAACGCUGGCGGCAGGCCUAACACAUGCAAGUCGAACGAGUGGCGGACGGGUGAGUAAUGUAUGGGAAACUGCCCGAUGGAGGGGGAUAACUACUGGAAACGGUGGCUAAUACCGCAUACCCUCGGAUGAGCCCAUAUGGGAUUAGCUAGUAGGUGGGGUAACGGCUCACCUAGGCGACGAUCCCUAGCUGGUCUGAGAGGAUGAACAGCAACACUGGAACUGAGACACGGGCCAGACUCCUACGGGAGGCAGCAGUGGGGAAUAUUGCACAAUGGGCGCAAGCCUGAUGCAGCCAUGCCGCGUGUAUGAAGAAGGCCUUAGGGUUGUAAAGUACUUUCAGCGAGGAGGCGUUACUCGCAGAAGAAGCACCGGCUAACUCCGUGCCAGCAGCCGCGGUAAUAC
rnacentral:rRNA from 1 species